GCGAACGGCGUGCCCUCCGCCGCGCCGCCGCCUAACGGCCCGUACUCCCUCCGGUUGGUCCUGAACGCCAGCCACCUGAUCACCGCCGGCGCGCCGCCCUGCGCCACCGCCGCGUAGUGCCCGCUCACCGCCGUCAGGGAUCUAAACAGGCCCUCAGCUAUGGCUGUGCCAAGAACAUUACAAGGUGCAGAUGGUAUUGGGUGUGCACCUGGGUGGUCUGGUUGCCGCCGGCGCCGCCGUGCCGCUCGCCGGCGACGGCGACGCCGUUCCGGUCAUACUCGACGGCGAUGGAGUCGAUGCACCGGUCGUACGACAGGGUGAUGCUACGAACGCCGGUGUGACCGCCGUCGUCCCAGGGGCUCCCUCCGGUGCCGCCCCAUGGCCCAACCUUCAUGAUCUUCUUGGACACAACCAUCUUCUUCUGAGGUUGCUGCUCCUGCAAAAAAAAAAGGGAUAUCCUGUAUAAUUGAAGUGUAUGAGUUGCUCACUGAACUUUUGGAUAGAAAAAUUCAGAUGAUUUUUCUGUUCUGCAAGACUGAAAAUGAAGUGCAUGACUUGCAUACCAUGUUUGGUUCAGAUAUGUUAAGAACUACACCAAGUAGUAAGGUGAGCAGCUAAACUUAUUCAGAGAACAAGUGCGCUAACAGAUAAAAAUGGAUAGGGAUUUUUUUUUGUUUGCAGGAAACAACCAGAUGGAAGAACAGAAAUAUUAGGAUAUAUAGGAAAAAUACCACACAGUGGCAAUUGGGUGAUAAGUGGGAAUCAGAACCGGAUGCUGUAAUGGCAGUACGCUGCUUUCUGGAAAGCUAAGCAUAUUGUACAGGAAGUUUUUGUUCUCCAAGAGUCCAAGUAUAAAUUCCGGUAACAUGAUCCUGCCAAUACCUAGUUUUCAGUUCAAUGUUACCACUCCUGGUGAUUUUUUAUUUACAUAUCGCAGAGCUUUAGUGUAGUACAAGUUUUUUAGGGAAAAGAAAUCAAAGUUUGAUAUUUUGGAAAAUAAAGCCUUCAUGUUAUUUUUGUUCUUCUUCUUAUAUGGAAGGAUAUGCAGCUCUCCUGUCUAUUCGAGAAAAAAAAAGAAAAAAUGCCUUCAUGUUGAAUCAUGAAUUGCUCACUUAAACUCCAAGUUCAUAAGCAUUUGCACGUUAACAUCAGAUAAAGACCUGAAACAAAUGUUGUACCUCAUGUCAUUACAGUGCUUUGAAAAACAGAAAUGAAGAUGUAGACAGUGGACUCAUACUCAUAGGUAACUCCUAGAACUUAGUUCGUUCCAAAUUCGUCUGUCCCCAGUCCCCACUGAACAACUCAAUCCUUUGAAUUUUCUGGAAAUAAACUCAGUCCAAAUUGGACGCAUGAAAUUCGCAUAACACAAUUUAUCUCACAUAUUAUUACAUGCCUAUUACGCAGGGUUGGUGCCCAGAAAUACCAUUCAUGGCCAGUUGGGAUUGAGUACUACUACUGCUGAACCAAUGUUCAAUACAACCUUGUUUGACAGCAUCCAGAAAGUCUGAAAACACAACCAGCAGUUGUCGUUUUCUAACUUCAGAUGUGGGCUUCACAGCAUUUGCAAAUUGCAACAAUGAUGUUCUCUGUGACUUCAAGAAAGUAGUAUUUCUGUAUACAUCAAACACUUGUCUGAAGACAAAUGAUUGAAGUGUUUGUGAUAAGGCCUCCGAUCAAGACUUGCAUCUCAUCUCCAUAAAAAGAAAAAGAAAAAGAGAAGUGAAAUACAAUUCAAGACUUGCAUCAGUGCUGCUAGUAGCACAAAUGGUUCAUCUCUUGCCAACCAUCUACUGCACAACAAGAUUCCUGAAGUGGUUCGGCUGUGCAAUUCAUCAUCUUCUCCUGAAUCCUGGCCUAUCAGUCAGAGCCGGUGCUUACACUACAAACAAUUGCAUUCUCUUCAACUCCUGACCCAAUAAAAUGGCAAUUUGCAGAGAAGCAAGUACAACAGCAGUGGCAACCACAUUCCAUUGGCAAUUUGGCAUACAUUGUAGUAGCAGCAGUAUUGAUCUUAGGUGUACAGCCACCUAAAGCUUUUGCUGAUCUGUCCUGAGCUAAUCAAAGAGCUAAUCAAGUUCAAGCAACCCAAAUGACAGUGAGUCCCACAAUAACAACUUGACAGGUGUGUAUGCUGUGUCUGGGCCCUGUUUGGACCAUGCUGCAUCUUUUUCUUGCAUUGGCUGUCAAGUGUUAAAAGCAUACUAAACCCCAAUUGCUUAAUUGCUUUUGCUUCUUUUUUUUUGAGCUAAUGCGCCAAAUUAUGAACUGCUAAUUAUAGCUUUGGUAUGCAUGAUUAAGUGAUUAACAGUUAGCAGUCUCCUGUCUUUAAGCUAUGGUUAGAAUCCACUUAUUGUUGCAAAUCUACAAUGAGCUGUCUGAUUUGAAUGUGGGGCCCACAGCCAGUCUCCUCCUCUCCUAUAUAAAGGCACACACUCUCCUCUAACCCCUCUCACAAAUUUCUCUUCAAAUUUCAAAGCACACAAAUUUUUCUUUCUCUUGCAGUAUUAUUAUUACUACCAUGGCAUCCAGGAUCUUGUACGCAGCCGCCGUCGUCGCGGCCGUCGCCGUGUCGUCCCUCGCCGGCGUCGCCUACGCCGCCGACGCCCCGGCGCCGAGCCCGACCUCCGGCGCGGCCGCCGUCUCGUCGUCGCUCGUCGCCGCCGUCCUCUGCCCCGCCGUCGCGCUCCUCCUCGGCAACCUCCGCCAAUGAGCUUGAAGAUCAUAGUUGAAUCGAAUGCUGCUGUCAAACAUGCGUGAUGUGCUACGCAUCGCGUGAUAUCUUCUUCUUCUUGUUCUUCUUCUGUUUGAGAUUGCUCGUUUUCUGACCUGUGUGGCAUGUAUUUUUAUCGAUUCAGUUGAGACAAUUCCUGCAGCAGCAUUCAUUCAAUCUGAUUCAGUAUUUCAUCGUUUUCAGCCCU